AACGAACGCUGGCGGCAGGCUUAACACAUGCAAGUCGAACGCCCCGCAAGGGGAGUGGCAGACGGGUGAGUAACGCGUGGGAAUCUACCGUGCCCUGCGGAAUAGCUCCGGGAAACUGGAAUUAAUACCGCAUACGCCCUACGGGGGAAAGAUUUAUCGGGGUAUGAUGAGCCCGCGUUGGAUUAGCUAGUUGGUGGGGUAAAGGCCUACCAAGGCGACGAUCCAUAGCUGGUCUGAGAGGAUGAUCAGCCACAUUGGGACUGAGACACGGCCCAAACUCCUACGGGAGGCAGCAGUGGGGAAUAUUGGACAAUGGGCGCAAGCCUGAUCCAGCCAUGCCGCGUGAGUGAUGAAGGCCUUAGGGUUGUAAAGCUCUUUCACCGGAGAAGAUAAUGACGGUAUCCGGAGAAGAAGCCCCGGCUAACUUCGUGCCAGCCGCCGCGGUAAUAC
rnacentral:rRNA from 1 species